UGAAAAUCUGCAUACUCCCAGCCCUCCACAGCAUAUGGCAGGGCACGCCUGAUCUACGAAAGUGGUUCUCAAAUCUGACCCUGGCCUUGGGUUGGGUCUGUCUGUUGAACCUGACUGCUAUAAACUAGGAUUACAAUCCUAGAAAGUUUACAGUAUGGCAAUGGGGGGCUGAACAGGGACUUACCGCAGUACUGUGCUGGACGGCCUUUUUGAAGAGCCGCAGGGCGAGGCCGCUCAGAAGCCUCGUCCUCUCAAACAGGUCCUCGAAGUCCCGGCGAAACGGAGAGGCGAUGCUGUCGAUCACAACCAGCCGAACCUGGCGACAGGGUGUUGGUAC